GGAGCAAUCCCCUUAGUACAGCGGCGCACGGGUGAGUAACACGUGGGUAAUCUGCCCUGGAGUGGGGAAUAACACCGGGAAACCGGUGCUAAUACCGCAUACGAUCACAGAGUCUGCGGAUUUUGUGAUGAAAGGAGCAAUUCGCUCUAGGAGGAGCC
rnacentral:rRNA from 1 species